ACUGAGAGUCAGUCAGAAUCCCAAGGUGAAGGGGCUCCUGUGAACGGAGAAAGAAACAGCCACAAGAAAUCAUUUGAAAAUAUUACCCGACAUGUGUUCCUCCCAGUAGAUGUGAUCCAGCACUUCUCUUCAAUGCCAAUCUGAAGAAUGCAGAGGGACUAGCAUGACAGAUGGGAUGUGCAUUUUCUCCUCUGAGUGUGCGGUUUGAACAUGGAUUAGGUUUCAGGGCUCCAGGGGAGGCUCAUAGGAAUGCUGAGUAAUAUGUCGGUCGACGGGUGAUCCUACAAACAGGAAGGACCCUAUUCCCAUGGGCAAAAACCCACUCAUAAAGCCACACAGAACUAUAAUAAUAAUAUCUUUACAUAGCGCCUUUCAUAGUGGACCACCAUCACAGAGGUAGGCUGUGAACUGUGCAUUCUAUGCAGAGCCACUUACAAUAGGACACUGAUUUAACAUCUCAUCCUCAGGAUGGAGCACAAGGAGGUUAAGUGACUUGCUCAGGGUCACACAGUGAGUCAGUCAGUGGCAGAGGUGGGAUUGGAACAAGUUAUCUUCUGGUUACAAGCCCUGGACUUUAACCAUUGGACCACACUGCAUCCUGAAUAUAUGGCCAUGUUCACAAAACUUUAAGGACUGUUUUAGGCCAUGUUUUGUUAAGGACACUCUUCUCUAAUGCAGGAGAAAUCUAUGACGACCUGUGCUGUAAAAGUAUUCAUGGAUUACAUUCUUGAAACGUUGGGUAAUAGUCAUACUGUGCAUAACCUACCAAAUGUGUCAUUUUGCCUAAAGCUACAGUGAAUUUACUGCAGCUAUAGCUUCCUCCUACUUUCUUAGAUCGUCAUGUCAGGCUAUUUUAACAUUGGCUUUCUUUGUUUAGUUCUUUGGUAGCUGAGAUCCUGUCUUGCUUGUCAUCCUUUUAGACUGUAAUAUUGUUUUUUUUUUUUUUGUUUUUUUUAAUCAACAUACAUUUUUAUUCCAUUCCAAGAUUGCAUGUUACAAUCAGAAACACAACCUCACACACGUAACAGGUGUUUCUUUGUCACUGCAAGAUCGCCACUUGAAAAGCUGAAUCUGGUAAAAUAUUUUCAAA